CGGAAUAAAAUUUGCUGGUGGUGAAAGGAGAGGCAAUUACUCAGUCAGCAUUUUGUCGUCGUAAUCGAUGGGGCGUUUAUGGACCUCGUGGAACUUGCAUGGAACCGUUAUUAGUUGUUUGCAAUUUACAGAUUCUAAUAUUACACGCAGUUUGAUGACAACAAAGGAGACUACCAGCAAGACGUGUGUUCUACGUUUAUUCUGGGCCUGGCACAAAAAAGUUACGUUUUACGCCAGAACUCUCCACAAUUGAAGUAGCGUCAAUAACAAUACAACCUACAGCGACUGGUGGACUAAGACUGGUCAUUCGUACAAUCAUACGGUUCGUCUUAAACUCGGUGCAUUUUUACCAUUCACGUUUAAAUAGUCGAUAAGUCCUUAGGCUGUAGCCAAGAGGAAAUCCAGGUGUCAAACGGACGAACGAUGGUUAAACAAACAGUACGGGGGCAAAGAACGAUAUAUUACCUGUAUUUACCUAAUGUAAUAAAUCUUCGGCCUGAAAUUCAUACUUUCGUGUUAAUCGGUGACCAUUCAGGAGACCUUGAAAUUGAAAUUCUUCUUGUCACGAAUUAACACAAGUAUGGUGUUUGUAUAGAGACAGAUGGAUGUAACCACAGGGUAGAGUAUGAACUUCGGUGUAUUGACUCUUUCUAGUGUUACAAUGUCAAAAGGCUAUGUGUUGACCAUCAUAAUUGAAUUAGCUUUGACCCCA